rnacentral:misc_RNA from 1 species
UUUCCGUAGGUGAACCUGCGGAAGGAUCAUUACUGAGUGAUGGCCCUCUUGGUCCAACCUCCCACCCGUGUUUAUUGUCCCUUGUUGCUUCGGUGAGCCCGCCUCACGGCCGCCGGGGGGCAUCUCCCCCCGGGACCCCGCUCGCCGAAGACACCCUUGAACCCUGUCUGAAGUAUGCAGUCUGAGCGAAAAAUCAAUAAGUUAAAACUUUCAACAACGGAUCUCUUGGUUCCG